AAUUUGACUAUAGAGUUGAAAUUCCACCUCACUAUCAACACUCAGUUCACUAGAUGACUCUUCACGAUAAAGGUCAUCUUCAUAUGCUUCUAUAGUCUCGUAGCCACCAAACAUCACGGAAAGUUGGUAAUCUUAAUGCUGUAAAAGAGAAAAGUCAUACAAAAAAGGUAUUUUAAAAGCUCAGAUCUUAUGUGGUUAGUGCAUAAUAUCAAUCCGUAGCACAACCUUCUAUAUGAAGGCCAACACUUCUCUCCAACUUAUUAAAAU
rnacentral:lncRNA from 1 species